CACCGGCGGCCCGAGUGGUGAUCACUAUUAUUGGGUCUAAAGGGUCCGUAGCCGGUUUGAUCAGUCCUUUGGGAAAUCUGACAGCUUAACUGUUAGGCUUCCAAAGGAUACUGUCAGACUUGGGACCGGGAGAGGUAAGAGGUACUACAGGGGUAGGAGUGAAAUCUUGUAAUCCCUGUGGGACCACCAGUGGCGAAGGCGUCUUACCAGGACGGGUCCGACGGUGAGGGACGAAAGCUGGGGGCACGAACCGGAUUAGAUACCCGGGUAGUCCCAGCCGUAAACGAUGCUCGCUAGGUGUCAGGAAUGGUGCGACCGUUUCUGGUGCCGCAGGGAAGCCGUGAAGCGAGCCACCUGGGAAGUACGGCCGCAAGGGCUGAAACUUAAAGGAAUUGGCGGGGGGGCACUACAACGGGUGGAGCCUGCGGUUU
rnacentral:rRNA from 1 species